AUUGAACGCUGGCGGCAGGCCUAACACAUGCAAGUCGAACGAGUGGCGGACGGGUGAGUAAUGUCUGGGAAACUGCCCGAUGGAGGGGGAUAACUACUGGAAACGGUAGCUAAUACCGCAUACCAUCGGAUGUGCCCAGAUGGGAUUAGCUAGUAGGUGGGGUAACGGCUCACCUAGGCGACGAUCCCUAGCUGGUCUGAGAUGAUAACCAGCCACGCUGGAACUGAGAGACGGUCCAGACUCCUACGGGAGGCAGCAGUGGGGAAUAUGGCACCAUGGGCGCAAGCCUGAUGCAGCCAUGCCGCGUGUAUGAAGAAGGCCUUCGGGUUGUAAAGUACUUUCAGCGAGGAGGCGUUACUCGCAGAAGAAGCACCGGCUAACUCCGUGCCAGCAGCCGCGGUAAUUC
rnacentral:rRNA from 1 species